UAGAGUUUGGAUCCUGGCUCAGAUUGAACGCUGGCGGCAGGCCUAACACAUGCAAGUCGAGCGGAAACGAGUUAACUGAACCUUCGGGGAACGUUAACGGCGUCGAGCGGCGGACGGGUGAGUAAUGCCUGGGAAAUUGCCCUGAUGUGGGGGAUAACCAUUGGAAACGAUGGCUAAUACCGCAUAAUAGCUUCGGCUCAAAGAGGGGGACCUUCGGGCCUCUCGCGUCAGGAUAUGCCCAGGUGGGAUUAGCUAGUUGGUGAGGUAAUGGCUCACCAAGGCGACGAUCCCUAGCUGGUCUGAGAGGAUGAUCAGCCACACUGGAACUGAGACACGGUCCAGACUCCUACGGGAGGCAGCAGUGGGGAAUAUUGCACAAUGGGCGCAAGCCUGAUGCAGCCAUGCCGCGUGUGUGAAGAAGGCCUUCGGGUUGUAAAGCACUUUCAGUCGUGAGGAAGGUGGUGUAGUUAAUAGCUGCAUCUU
rnacentral:rRNA from 1 species